rnacentral:rRNA from 1 species
UACGAAGGGGGCGAGCGUUGUUCGGAAUUACUGGGCGUAAAGGGCGCGUAGGCGGCCGAUCAAGUUAGAUGUGAAAGUCCUGGGCUUAACCUGGGGACUGCAUUUGAUACUGAUUGGCUUGAAUUCGGGAGAGGAUAGCGGAAUUCCCAGUGUAGAGGUGAAAUUCGUAGAUAUUGGGAAGAACACCGGUGGCGAAGGCGGCUUCCUGGACCGACACUGACGCUGAGGCGCGAAAGCCAGGGGAGCAAACGGG